rnacentral:rRNA from 1 species
AUGAACGCUGGCGGCGUGCCUAAUACAUGCAAGUCGAGCGAACAGACGAGGAGCUUGCUCCUCUGACGUUAGCGGCGGACGGGUGAGUAACACGUGGAUAACCUACCUAUAGACUUGGGUAAAUUCCGGAAACCGGGGCUAAUUCCCGGUAAUUAUAUUAAACGGAUUGUUUAAUAAUGAAAAAACGUUUUUCCUGUACCUUUUGAUGGAUCCGCGCCGGAUUAGCCAGUUGGUAAGGUAACGGCUUACCAAGGCAACCAUGCGUAGCCGACCUGAGAGGGUGAUCGGCCACACUGGAACUGAGACACGGUCCAGACUCCUACGGGAGGCAGCAGUAGGGAAUCUUCCGCAAUGGGCGAAAGCCUGACGGAGCAACGCCGCGUGAGUGAUGAAGGUCUUCGGAUCGUAAAACUCUGUUAUUAGGGAAGAACAAAUGUGUAAGUAACUAUGCACGUCUUGACGGUACCUAAUCAGAAAGCCACGGCUAACUACGUG